rnacentral:tRNA from 1 species
GGCCCGUUGGUCAAGCGGUUAAGACAUCGGCCUCUCACGCCGGAAACGGGGGUUCGAUUCCCCCACGGGUCAC